GUCCUCCGGAUUGGGACAUCCAUCGACGUUGGGUCGGGACCCUCCACACUUUUCUGGUUUGAUUGGUGGGCGGGUGAAUCCCCCUUUGCGGCUCGCUUUCCGGACUUGUUCGCUAUCGCUGUGGACCCUAGGGUCUCAGUGGAGACGACCCUUAUUGACUUAGGGCGUCUCGCGUUUUGGCGGCCAUUUGGGCCUGCAGAUUCGCUUGCAUGGAUUGAACUUCUGGACAUCGUCGCUCUCCACGAGCGAGACCUUGUGCGCCCACAUGAUCACGUGUCCUGGCGCCUUAAACCCUCGGGCACCUUCUCCACCAAAUCCCUCUACCGGGCCAUUGUCCCCACCCCCGCCCCGGAGCCAUUCCUCGUGAUUUGGGAGAUCAGACUCCCCCUCACGAUCCGGAUCUUCCUGUGGCAAUGGAUCCGUGGGCGCGUUCCGUCCGGUGUGAAAGUGCUCAAACGCAAUGGCCCUGGUGACAGAUUAUGCCCCUUGUGUAGAACGGUCGAGGAUUCCAACCACAUUUUCUUCUCCUGCGUCUCGGCCCAGUUCCUUUGGAGUUGCCUCCGCGAGAUGGUCGGCGGCCGUUGGUCCAACACUAAUUUCCCAGACCUCUUCGCCGAACUCCAGCCGUCACCCCCUUUUAGCCGCCACGUUAGGUGGCUGGCGAUUGGGGUCCUUGCCUGGACUUUGUGGACGAUCCGGAAUAAGCUUGUGAUUCGACGUGUCCCUCUUCGACGUGCAACUGACGCAAUCUUAAAACUAUGUGGUUACUUGCAGCUAUGGCGGCCGCUUAGCCGCCCCACGACGCCAUCAACAUCAUCAUUGCUGAUCUGUGCACAAUGGAUAUUCGUUUGGCGCCACCGCUUCCUCUGCCACCUCCAGAGCCAGACUAGAUGGCCUGUCCGCGUCGCGUUGAUGCUUGUUGUUUUUCUUUUCUUUUCUUUGGGCUUCUUGAAUUGUGCCCUCAACAGAACCUCGUACUAUUUGUCGUGUUCAGACUGUGAGUGUAUGUGGUUGUGA
rnacentral:rRNA from 1 species